rnacentral:rRNA from 1 species
UACGUAGGGCGCAAGCGUUGUCCGGAAUUAUUGGGCGUAAAGAGCUCGUAGGCGGCUUGUCACGUCGGGUGUGAAAGCCCCGGGGCUUAACCCCGGGUCUGCAUUCGAUACGGGCGAGCUAGAGUGUGGCAGAGGGGGGUGGAAUUCCGCGUGUAGCAGUGAAAUGCGCAGAUAUCAGGAGGAACACCGGUGGCGAAGGCGGGUCUCUGGGCAUUAACUGACGCUGAGGAGCGAAAGCAUGGGGAGCGAACAGG